rnacentral:lncRNA from 1 species
GCUAAAGUAAGGUAAACAGAGUCUCCAUUCAAGUAAACCAUAGAAAGAUCUUCCACAGGAAAGAAGAUAUAAACAAUAGAAUCCGCUGUUUGUUCCAGUUAACUUAUUAAUUAAGCUCGAGAAUCCGCCGUGCAAUUGUAAGUUACAAGCGGUUAAUCUUCCAUUCCUCAAAGAAAGUAGAGUUCCAAAAGAGCCCUUCCCUUGUGCGAGUUCUUUGACUUAUACCUGCUAUACUCACGUUUUUUCUUCUUGGGAAUUCUAUCAGUGCUGUGCUUUCCCUAACUACACUGCUAGCACUAAAAACCUGUAUAACGCAAACGCAUCAAGUUGUAUUCCAGCUAUAGGUUGGGCCAGCCCAGAGCCAGAGUAAGGUUCGGCAAAAGAACAAGUUGAGUAGAGAGAAGAAACUAGAGCUAGUGAAGAAGCCAAGCCGGGGGAGCUGCCACAGAGGGGCGUUUGAGCUAGCAGUAAUAGGUGGAGCAGAGCCAGAGCCGAGUGGAGGCCUAGUAUCUAGAUCAUAGGGGAGAUUCUCCAUUUGCAUCGGACAGUUUUUCUACUUGCCUAGUGUCUUGUCUAGUCUAAGCUUGGCCCUUUCUUAACCGCUAACCACGAACAAAGCAAAAAGAAAACCAGAGGGAAUUCCCAAUUGGAUGAUGAUUAGCUUAUUCCGAAAACUGCUGCGGAAAAGAUCACACGGAUGGACAACGGUGAUUUCAAACAUCACGUUAUGCUUAUUACAUCCGAGAAAAGCACUUUCUUGCAUAAGCAGGUGGAAUCUUUCCUUUAGGUAGUAGAACUAGAGCUUAAAGCAACCCGCGGGGGCACAAUGUAGGUUGGGGUCUAGUGUAAGAAAUGUAGACUCGAUUCCAUACAAUCCGGGGCUUACGGCAAUAAAUCAAAUAUCAGAAGGCAUAACAGAGGCAUAGAGGGAUUACAAAGAAUUCUUUUUUCUCGGGAAAACGUGACUUUGACUCUUCUCUUCCCCUGAACUGUUUGAGCUCCAUGCUAUAGACUCUUUUAUCACAUUCUGAAUUCGCUAUCCCACGGUGCCGGAUCGAAAGCCUGCUAAAGUAGAUGGGAUUUCUCGCGCUUGGGUUCUAUUUGUCUUGCGGAUUCUUCAAGUACGUACGACCGACUGAAAGAGUUGGCUGUAGUUCAUAAGUAAAGUAGAUAGAAGCUCUGGUUUGCUGUAGUUCCAAGUAGAAAGAAGCCGAAUGCCCAGAAUCAGCUGUGAGACUAUGCUAAUGUAACUGAAUUUCGACUUGGUAACAGUCUUGCGUCUCGUUCAACUGACCUAUAACUAUGCUAAUUGCUAAUGUAAUUGAAUUGAUACUUUGUCACUUUCCUUUAAAACACACUCAUAUCGUAGGAAAACUCUGUCCUUUCGUGCUUAGUAGCAAUGUAUAGGGUCAGCCUCAAUUCUGAAAGCCAUUCGGCUCUCUUCUUUUGCACUCAACUCUCUUCCUUCUGUACUUGCUCACUCGAUAACACUCGAACAGACAGAGAAAUAGGGCAAUUCCGGUCAUUAUAAGACGGGACAAUCCGUUUCGUGUUUCAAAUAAGUUCCUCUGCUCUGGUCUACCACUACUCUUUAAAGUGAAGCGCACCUUUAGUCUCGUCUGAACACCGCGCUCAAGUACUUUACUCAAUUGCUUGUUUCAUCUAAUCCACAUAGUAUAUAUUAUAGGAUUGUGAAUCAUCUAUUUUCUUAAUCUUACCUCCUUGGCUUAGACACAGCUGCGUAUUAGAGAACUGCGGAUUCCAUAUCAAUAGCUCUGGAUUUGAUUCAAGUAUUUAUAUAUCAACAACAAUACAAAGCUGCUACUUAUGCCCGUGCAUAUCUGAAAAUCCUCUUUCGUUUCGAACAAGUUUGAUAUGCUAGAGGGAAGUGCCAUACACCUAUUCAAUUGGCUCUAAGCCCACAUUCUUCCUAGCAACCAACCGAGUCGAUGUCAAAGAACCCGAGCUAGGGCCUUCUCUGUGCAUUCAUGUGCUGCUCUGGGAGUUGCAGGACUCAUUUUCUUCCUUUUUCAUAGCGGGGCGAAGUCCUAGACUAUACUCUAAAGGCGAUUGGCUUGGUCUUCAUUCAGCUGUACUAGAUGCUGUAGCCCAGGCAUCAAUGCACUAACUCAAAGACUUCUAUAUACGAGAUGCACAGUGGGAGCAAAGCGGUAUCAAGUCAUCCCUCUCACAAGUCAGUUGCCUUUCUUCUAAUUUAUACAUUAUCCCAUUUCUACGUGCAAGCAGAUAAUCAGUCUCGUCUUCAUCCUAUUGUGAUGUCAUCUCUAUUAAACCCGCUAUUUCUAUCAUGCGCUUCCGUCUUCUCUUCCAACAGAAGCAAUAGCUGCUCAGCUCCUUCUCUGGAAUCCGAUCUGCGGUAUCAAAAGGAAAGAAUGGAAUUAAUGUCCAACAGACUCUCUCGGUUGGCGCCUCGUACUUUGACUUAUGCAAUAAAGAAUGGAGCUGGGGUUGACAAGAAAUCUACUAGUGCUUAUACAAACACAAUGGAAAGAAAGAACAACACGUAGUAUAGAUAUAGGAUAUUAUUAGUUAUUAUCGCGGAUGUCUUCGUGAAAUCAAAAGUGGGAAAUCCACUAGUAAUACAAAGAAGAAAAACAAUACCCAUAAGAGUUGAGCCGGGAACUCAGACUUUCACUAACGCUAACAAGCCUACCCUUCCAUCCUUUGACUUUUUAGUGCAACCCUCUGGGCAACCUAUAAGCUAAUAGGCAAUUCCGAAUUCCCUAGGUACCUUAGAAGACUUAAUCAAGGAAUAGAAAAAACAGGUAUGGUACAGCGCACCUACAAAUAAGAUAAGAAUAGAGCGAAGGUUCUGAUGUAGUGCAUCCAGUAUGUCAUUCAUUAGUAGAAGAACUCGAUCCUGCUGCCCAAGCCUUAUUCAAAAGUAGUCCAAACCCGACUUGUUAGUGUUUAUCUUCGAAUUGCCUCUUCUCUCUCACCCCAGUGCUAUUUCCCUUAAACAAGGAAUUUCAAUCCAAAAUAGGAAUGCAAAGAAUUUCGCUUGGACACUGGACUCAAACUCGGCAGUAAAGGAAUUCCACCUAUACCGAGAAGACUUGAUCGCUACUACCGGCAAGGCUCGCUGCUACUUACAACUUAUUAGCCGGACCCCCAACUCUUUAAGGUUUCCCUUCCAGCCCAUGAGUAUUACUAAACAGGAUUUCAAUCUCAAACUAGCGCUUCUCAUACUGUCACUACUGCUUGAAAGGUGUUUCUAAGCCUGCCUAUCUAUGAAAUCUCAUUCUUAUGCUCUUUGCUUUAACUCUCCCGCUCCCCGCUUUACGGAAGUAAACUUCACUCUUAUUAAGUAAACAUCAUUCUUCUUAUUAAUAGUCAAGUGUGACUUUCCAGUCUCGCAGGCUUACUACCUUCACUUUCAUUCUGGAGUAGUAGCUACAAUUUCUAUAUGUUCCAGUGAGAAUCAUUCUGGAGUAGUAGCUUGAUUCAGUAUACUUAUGGUAUGGAAACUACAAACAAGCAAACAAGCAACUCAACAUUAACUUGCUAAUGCUUACUUUUCUAUUAUCUUUGUCAAGCUCUAUCUCUUCUCCCUAGCCUUUUCAACACUUAUUUCGGUAAACUCUAGAGAUUAGCAUUCUUUGACUGAGUGGCAUGUACUUCUAUGGCCUGGCCCCCCUUUUCAAAUGUUGAAGCAUGGCUAAGUAAUCCUACUAACAUUGCACCCAGUGCCCAGGUAGUUUGGCCAAUAGUAGGUCAAGAAAUGAUGUGGGCUGGGCGGAGGUUUCUGAAGAAUACAAAUAUAUGGGGUUUUUCUUAUUAGGCGAGCAUCCCUAAAAUGGGCUUGGUUCCAAGACGUAGAAUCAAUAUGAAAUCACUACUUUGCUGGCAAUGUGAAAUCACUACUUUCUUAGCAGGGGUUACUAGGACUUGGGUCUCUUUCUUGGGCGGGACACCAAAUCCAUGUAUGUGUAUCUUUCUCCAUUAACCAAUUUAUCGACGCUAGAGUUGAUCCUAAAGAGAAACCACUUCUUCAUGAAUUGAUCUUGCUUGAAUCGGGACCUUUUGACUUUAUAUAAACUAAAGCACAGUGAGCUACUGAUGUAAAGGCUUUAUAUUCGAACUGACUAGCCCAUAUAGCAACGUAUAUUGGAUAGGGGGCAUCAAUCCAUCUUGAAGCUAUAGCCUAGCCUGUUGAAACGCAGACGGAGACUGGGACAUAUACUAGAAAGUGGGACCUUGCACUGGUUCGUUUGGAGAGGGAAUUGAUCGCGAUGUAGGAGCACUCGUACUUUACUUAAUUAUCCAAAGGUAAAGGAGCACGGGGCACUCGCCUGGCUCAAAAUACAUUAACCUAACCGGCCAUCGCUUCCACUAGAAUCAUGAGGGUGGAUGUCUAUUCUGUCACUUAUUCUUUUUUUGUAGACGCCUAUUCUUUCUGUUUUUUAUAAAUAAAGGUGCUUAAAGCCUCAGUGACCUUUCUUUCUUCUUCACAGCCACACGAAAUCAGUCUAAGCCGAAAAGCCAUAAAGAAGGCUAGCUUCCCCAUUCCACAUGACUGCCAUAAGAGGUCGAAAAUAUCUCACUAUAAGAGGUCGAAAAUAUCUCACUAAUUAAAGCAAGCAAGUACAAGGAUGAGACAAAUGCUGCCGGAUUGCUCGUUGAAAGCGGAGGAGGAGUUAACAGUAAGGGGAGACUGCUUCAAGCCAUACAAGGACUUCUGCACUAGUAGUAAUAAAGAAAAGGGAAGUUAUAGACCAUUGUAAGUAUUAUUGAUUCAUUAUCUGUUACUUCAUUCGAAGUCAAAACUACCAAGUAUACAUCUAGACAUUCAAAACUCCGCGACUCCUCCUGGACUCACUCAACUUCAUCGGGGCGUUCAAAAGAGAAGAUCCCGUUCCCAGCUUUUUCCAGAGACGGGCUGAACGAUUUCCCUCCGGAAGAACUUGUGCAAAAGGGCCGUAGACAGAUUGGAUCGAUUUUCGAAUAUCAUAAUAUUAUACUUUAGAAAGGUGGAAUAAUACCUCCCUGGAGAAAGUCAUAACAAAUAUAAUAAUACCUCUCUGGAGAAAGUCAUAACAAUACCUCCUAGGAAUUUCCAGUGGCUCACAGGUCAACUUCACCCAGUAUGAUAGAAAGGCCUAAUUUGGUUAUGUGAAAUAAGCUACCAUUAGCUUUCUCACUUAUAUGGAUAGUAUGCUAUGACUUACUUGCAGCUUGCUUUCUUUGAGGAAUUAUUGAGUGAAGGGCGAUGCCAGUCGAUUGAUACUCUGAUUCCUACAUACCAGACUUUGAUCAAUCCUACAUGAUAGGAGAGAAAUCGUCUUAUUAAUAAAGAAGGGCACUACUAAACAAGCUCUCGCUAAUACAAUACGGGGAGAACCCGGGCAUGACCACUGAAUCAAUUCCCGUCUUAGUUUAGGGGGAAUGAAGAUACCGAGUUUAGGGGGAAUGAAGAUACCGAAUAACUAAAUAGCGUAAGUGAGGAUGCCCAUGACCUGUAGCUUAUAUUGAAGCUUAUUAACCGCUUGGGGGGCUUCUCCGCUUCAAUUGAGCAGCUGAUCUCGUAAUACUUUUUUCUUAUUGGGUUAUGAGCGGUGCAUUGACUGGCCGUGAGUCGCAUAUAUGCAUGGUAUAUUCCACGCAGCAAGCACUUCGGAUAAGAUUCUUAGAGAAGUGAGCUCACCAUCAUUCAUUGGACAGUCUCCUCUGUUCCAGCAGAAGGCUGCGUCCGCUCCCCAGCUGUAUAGGAUUUUGGACUCCGGAGAAGCAAAAUAAGUUUAGAUAGACUUUGCCAUGAUAUGCCGCUGAGAAGAGUAAUGAUCCAUAAAUGAAUGGGUCCGGACCUAUUUAAUCAGUUGACAAUCGUGGGCCAAUGAAAGAUUGAGCUAGAAAGGCUGAGCUAACUAUCAUAUACUGGACAGUAGUGGCGAUAGAUGGUGCGUAGCAGCUCGACAUAGGGUAGCUAGCUCGACAAAAGAAAGGGAGAGGAUAGACAAACUUAUGGUUUCAACUUAUGCGGUUGAUAGCAGGGUUAGAAACCUCCUCAGUAAGGUAGAUGAAUGAGUUUGCGAGUGGCUUGCCUCUCUCCGUCCUGCAGCAGAUGGAAUCAAUUACUUUUAACGACCGCAAGAAUGGAAGUUCCAUGUUGUUCCUACACAUGCUUAGGACAAAUGAAUCUAUUUCUUGAGGUAGGACGAAGACAGCGCUACUAGGAGAACAAGGAGCAACAGAUAAAUAGCUGUUUUUAUAUCAAUUCCCGAGCCCGUUCUUUCAUUUAUUCGUGUUAGUGAAUAGAGAAGUGGUUUUUUCAGUUAUUGGUUCAUAGACACUUUGGAAGUUAUUGCUUAGUUUCUCUCUCCGUUGUUGUUUACUCCCUGGGUUCUUUCAGUUAGCUCAGUGUUCUUAGCUCCUUUGCAGGUUAGUUGAUCUUCCCACCAAUGAAGCCUUUCAGACACAAAUCAAAAAACAGAUGGAAAAGCUAAGGAUAAAAGGAUGCAUGCUAGAAGACUUUGCACGAAUGGGUAAGUAUAUGUUCAGAUGCCUGAUUACCAAAGAGAUGCCUUCCUAAGCUUCAAUUAUUAGGCAGAAGCAAGAUGCCAUCGCCGCCCUUAUUAAGUUGAGCUUCCCGCCUAACCUUAGAUAGGGAGAAAAGUAAAGCACGAAGAGUUUCCGUGAUGUGGCGAUGUUUUCGUUCGCCUAUUCAAAAGGCAAUUAGGCCCCAAUUAGACGGAAUGGAAGGUGCGGAUCCUAGAUUCGAAGUUGAUGAUUCGGCUUACGAUUUGGUUAGUAUGGAAGUGCACCGCUGUUUAGCCAGAUAUUCUGAGUUCAUUAUAGGGCCUUUCGGCCUCACUCCUUUCCCGAAGCAGCAUUCCCAUGAGUUAACCAUUGAUCCGAGCAAGAAGAAAAGUCCAGCUUUGUGGCGGCGAGAUAUAGUAGCGAUGCGCGGGUUUCGAAGCUAGGGUUGUAGUUGGAGUCGAGAAAGGCAGAAAGGUGCUUUUCGCCGGUAUUUCGCAGAGUAUCAUUGAAGCCUAUUUGAGAUUGUUUUGAUUACUGCUUGCCCGUAGACUUCUGGGGGGUAAUAACUUCCUUGUCCGAGCGAAAUAGCCCUUCCUUAUCUUACGUAAGCUUCAGGUAAAGGGAAUACAAUGUUUUAGGCUUACCCCCUUUGUGGUAAGGCAGUCUUUAAGGUUAGCCUUAUUUUGAGUGGAGGGAGUUAUUCGUAUUACAAGGGCAGGUACCAUCUCGGAUUACCUGAGUGAGACAAAACCUCUGGAGAGUAACUGCCUUUUGGUUCUGUCAAUACAGCAACUCGAGACCUAAUAAAGAAGAGAACUUAGCAGAGGAAACUCAAUCCUUAGUAAGCAAAGCAGGGUGAGUUAGGUCUAGUGAGUUAGGUCUACUCGAUCAGAGGAAAGAGAAGAGGAGAGAUUCUACAUUUGCUAUGAGCCAAGUAACUCCUAAACAAGACCUACUUUAACUCGUAACAAAUACGCCAUGCAACUAAUCACGUUGCGACCAAGCUUAGGCGUAAGACUGCCAAGUCACGUAUAAUUAUGAUUUCGCCAAUUCCUGUUUUUGGGGCCGCUUCCUAUAAUUCCUUCGAGUUAUAACAAUAGAUGUUUUUGGGGCCGCUCCACUCUUUCUAUUACAAUAUAUGCUUUCAGCGGCAAACAAGCUGUGUUUUGUUACUAAGGCAAGGGAGUUCGAGCAAACAGUGUUUAGUGACUUUCUUCUAUAAUAGGUGUGGAUAGCAUAAAUGAUUUGAAAGAAGCAAGGAAACAAGCGCAGUGACGGUUACCAUAAGAAUCCGAAUGACGGGUAGCUGAAGAAGAAUCAGAUAGGGCGUUAGCCAGUUCUUUUGGACAGAUAGGGCGUUAGCCAGGGUUAGACAGAUAGGGCGUUAGCCAGCAGAACGAACAAGUAAACAAGUAAUGGCUGUGAGGUUGUGACUCCAAUAAGUAAGUUUAGAAGGAAAAGGGAAGCAGUUUGUAUGGUAUAUUAUUGAGUUUGUCAUUUCACUCUUUUAUUAUAUCAUAUGAAAGCUCAAUUGAAAAUAGGUAUUGGUAAGGGUAAGGGCGCUAACCUAUCAACAAGCUUAGAGCGCAAAGGGGAAAGCCAAUAACUAAACUCUCGUAGACAACACAAGAACCGAUAGAGACUCAACUGCUAAACCGUGUCGUGUAGUGCCCUUCUCUUCUGGAACUCUACUGAAUGAAGUAAACAGUACUAAGCGCUUCAACUGUGCCCUUAAUUAAUGGGCUUAAGGAGCUCCUUUUUUGCUAUCAAAUAUCUCUUUCUCUCGUGCGCAUAUCUAAUAGGUAGGAAUGGAACUCUCUUGCACCUAGGAUAGAGAUUUGUAAAGUGUGUGUCGAACUACUUCUUCUCGAACAGCUGAUUAUCGAGUUGACUUUCUUCUCGUGAUACGAGCUUCUUCCCUUGCUUACCUAUAUUGAAGUAAAGUAAACAGUUCCCUUGCGCUAACGAUAACAGAAUCUCUCUAUUGCUUGCUCGCAUCGCCUUUCAUUCCCAGAGACCUAAGAGUCCUACUUAGAUUCCUUCUUUCCCGCUUCCUAUUGCCUUAACCUUGUAGUGAACUGAACCUUGAUACGGAUCUUGAAACUCUCCAACUGUCCCUUAAUCAGGUGUCUCUGUCCUGCAAGUCAUUUGUAGAGGGUUCGGGUCAAUAGCAAGUAUAAGCUGGUGCCUCACAUUCUCUUAUAGGCCGAUAUUCUUCUCAAAGAACUCACUAACCAUAGUCACUCGCCUUAGCACUUGUUCUUAUGCGCAUGUCAUUGAAUUAUGGAAUAGAGCACAGCUCACUGACACUGAAUCAUUGAAUUGAAACUCUGAUUCCUAUGAUUCUCUAAUGACAAUAUUCUAUGGAAUUAUAUACGAAACUAUAGCCUUCGCAUGAAAAAGGUGAACUCGACACUGAUGUUAAUUGCCUAGACUUCGCCCCCAAAGAAAUAGACUGAUUCACUUCCCCGCCUUAGCUGACUUUUGAACUACUGAUUCUAUCUCUUUUGUCUCCUUUCUUCGCACUGCUUCCCUAUUCUUUGAAAUCUGCGGGCUGGCUUCCCUUUCUUAUGAAUCUGACUGAAAAGUAUCCUGCGUUACUUCCGAACUCCCUUCCUGUUACUGCGGAUUCUUCUCGGCUUCUAUCUACUACUUAACAAUCACCUCCGGAGACUUCCACUCCUGCACAAUUACCUAUCUUUCUGGUUGCUUUUCUCACUUCCUCUUCCACUUUUUUCCUACCGAUUUCUUCUUUUGCGGAUCUUUCCCUUAGCUUUUUACCUAACCAGCAAAUACCC